GCCCAGCAACCAGCCCUCUGCUUCUCGGGGUUUCGUGUUUAACAAACACUUCUCGGGGUUGCCUGUGAGCUGAAUGCUAAGCCCAGGGGUCUCAUUUCACCUUCAAAAUAGUCCUGCGAGGUGAGUCACUGGAGAGCAUCAGCCACGCCCCGGAAGUCCUACGUGUUACACCCACACUAAGCUGUGGAGAGACGGACCUCCCUGAGCCUCCGACUGCGCAGUGUCUAGUGCCGAGGAGGUGUUGACCACACAGGUCCCUACAGAGCGAUGCCUGACAGAGCCCAGCCCACAAGACCCUCCUCAUUCCCCGGAGUGCGGGGCGGCAUCUUAUUCCUGACCCGCCUCUUCCCUGCGGGCUUUCCAGAAGCUGCUGCCCACAGGACACCCAGGGAGGACGGCAGGGCGACUGCUCCGCGUCUGAGCCCCCCGGGGUGCCAUGCCCACUGCUCAGACUCUGGGGCCCGCACCUCUGGGGAAUCAAACAUCUUUGUCCUGUCGUAAGCAGUUUUCUCCACAAACUCAA